AUUGAACGCUGGCGGCAUGCUUUACACAUGCAAGUCGAACGGGGUGAAGGGGCAACUCUUCAUUCAGUGGCGAACGGGUGAGUAAUGCAUCGGAACGUACCUCGUAGUGGGGGAUAACUCGGCGAAAGCCGUGCUAAUACCGCAUAUGCUCUACGGAGGAAAGCAGGGGACCUGAAAGGGCCUUGUGCUAUGGGAGCGGCCGAUGUCCGAUUAGCUAGUUGGUGGGGAAUGGCCUACCAAGGCGACGAUCGGUAGCUGGUCUGAGAGGAUGAUCAGCCACACUGGGACUGAGACACGGCCCAGACUCCUACGGGAGGCAGCAGUGGGGAAUUGUUCGCAAUGGGCGCAAGCCUGACGACGCAACGCCGCGUGGAGGAUGAAGACC
rnacentral:rRNA from 1 species